rnacentral:lncRNA from 1 species
CAGGCACCUGGUCAGCUGUCCACCCCCUCCACCCCCAAACCCAGGCUCUGAAGGGUCACAGGGCACAGCCUGCCUGACAAGGGAGAGCUGAAAGGGCGAAGGCCCGUCUCUCUGUAGUCUUCUCUCUGCGGCUAUAAAUCCCAUGGCUGUGUCGGGCAGGUCCUCCCGGUCAGUCAGCAGCUCCCGAGAGCUCCGUGGUGCAGCCGCACUGCCCCCACGUGGCCCAGGCUGUGUGCAGCUGCCUGGCCCUUGGGGCCUCAGAGUGCAGUGAGGUUUAGCUCAGGGGCUUCCCUCACCCAGGAAGGCGUGGGUGGCCUCCCUGCAGGCGCCUGAGGAUGGGGUCUGUGCUGGCAGUGUGGCUGGGCAGGGGGCACGGCAGCCCUGCUUCCCUGCGGGUUGGCACCCCCUCCACAAGGAAUCCACCACAACUCGUGAGCUCACUGCCCUCCAGGGACCCCCAGUUUUGUAUCAGUGACUCCGGCCAGGAGAGCAGGGGAGUCCCCCCUCCACACCUUCUGCUUCGAGAGGCUCCUCACCGCCUCCCUCCCUUGACUUCUGAUGGCUGGGAGCUCCCCGGGGAAAUGUCCCUCCCAACAGCCACAGCCCACCAGCCCAACAGGCUCUCUGCAUCCAGGGGUUCCUUUGCCAGCAGGCCGGCCUGACAUGCGUUUGUCCAGCGCUCUACCCCUGCUGGUCCUCCAAGCGUGUGGUGCAGCGGCCCCACCGCCCUCCUCACCCUCUGCUGAAGAACUUCUGCUCUGGAAUUUUCAGCGGCUUUUGUUCUUGUGAGUCUUCAUGGAGGCCCCUCUCCAAGGCAGCCUCCCCGAGCUGCCUGCAAACAGGAGCCCCCAUGGCAGCCACGUGCAGAGUACCUGAGGGUACCUGCACCACACACCUGAGUGUACCUCACACCUGUGAACCUGCCACACCUGAGCAUACCAGAGACCUGAGAAACACACUUUAUCUCCAUCAGAGGAACCUCUCAUUGCUGUGAAAAGGAAGGAAGGAAAAUCAUCCACAAUCUGACCUUUUCUCUAUGAAAGUCUCCGUCUCACCUGGCCUUCGCCUGCUUUCUAGGAGUAUGGAGCUAACCGCCACACACAACAUUCCUUCCCCGGCAGCUGAUCCACAGGAUGAGCACAUCGGCCUUGGUAUCAACUGUUGGCCCGUAUCAUCCAUGGAGACAUGUGCUGGGGGCAGGUGUCUCACCAGGGCUGACAGCUCCUCCAGAGUAGCAGGCUUCCCUGACCCAGGAAACCAUGCUCCCUGCCCCUCACCCCUCAACACACCGAGCAGAGGUUUGAACAGAUCCCAAGAGACCAAAACGAACAGAGAAAAGUCGUGCACAACUGGGUGGAAGGAGCAGGCUUUCUGAGACCAGAGGCUGCAGCCCCAAAACCAGACGCAUCACUGUGGAAGGGAAGCGUCUGGAGAAUGAGGCUGGGCCUCGGGAGUGUCAACCCAGGAGGGCCGGCGCUGCACAGUGAGGCAGGGAGGCGGACCGGGCAGCGCUGGCAGUGGACCGAGGUGAGCAGGAUGCGCUGGGUGGACAAACGCUGCAGGCCACGUGCAGAGACUGCAGGGCACAGCAUGGCUAAAUCAUUAAUGAUGGAAAUGCACAACCUGCUAUACCAAAUUGGAUUUCUUCAUCCAAAAGGAGCAGUCUUAUGAAAUUUAACCUCCUGAACAGAGGGUGAGACAGUCCCUCUGGAUUUUCACAAGCAGAGCUGUGCACGCUGGGCUGGACAAUGUUCCAGAAGGUGCCCGGUACCCUGGGAGGUCCCAGGCAAGCCAGAACAUCUGACACUGACUGUCUGGAGGACCAGGGCACGGGGCCUGGUUCUUGGACCUAUUUGAUUUGAAAAGCUGAAGGCAGACCACACGUCUAACAUUCCCUUUAUUGCUUACGUCACAUAUUCCAAUGAAUACAAUAAACUCCUUUUUAAAAAAGUAAGGCACAUGAAAAGCCUUUUGUGUAAGUUCCAUGUUAUUUUAAAAUUCCUAUUGGCUAAUAAAAGCAUUUGCACUAUAGAACCAGAGACAUCUAGAAAAGCACAUGAUAG